rnacentral:lncRNA from 1 species
CAAAAUAAAACCAUCUAUUGUAUGGUAACAAAAUAAGACCAUCAAAUUAAACAUGGAUUAACAUCAACUAUCUCCAUGGCUUACGAUUGUGCUUGGGUGGGUAUUUGGACUUAGCCUUUUUCAUGUUCCUACUUUCUUAAGUCGCACCAGCAGUUUCUUUGUCAUUCCUUUUAUUGGUGCACUUGGUUGGGGCUGCCACUAUGGUUUCCCCUCUCAUACUAGGCUACAAUGCAUAAAAUACAUAAAUAAAAAACAUGUCAUCAAAAUAAAAUAAACAAUUUAGAAGUUGGCUACUUACAUUCAAAAUUUGCAUCCUUUUCCUCUCAUCGGUGUAUAACCCAAUCCCUUACAUAGCUUGUUUUCCCCUAUUACGAAGUGUUGUAAGUAUUUGCUGUGUUGAAGAGGUUGGCAUGGUGAGAGGAGUUGGUUGUGUUAAAGGAGCUGGUGGUGAUGAUGUAGAUGUUUCGAAUGCAAUAGUUUGAGAAGUAGCUGGUGAAGUAGGAUUAGAAGGGGCUGAUGGAGCAGGCUACUGCGGCUGGUGGAAUAAGAGCUGCUGGAGGUGUACUAUACAAAUUAAACAUGUUAGUAAUUCUCAAAUAAAACACGUUUUGAAUUAAAAUUAUUAUAAGUUAAUAACACUUACAGUAGUUGAAUUUUGAUAGCUUCACAUACAUACAUACAUACAUACAUACGUUAGAUAAUCAAUAAGUCAAUAUUUAAUUUUAUUUCCCUUUACAAAGAAAAACCAUUGAAGAUAAUAUACAAAGAAUAUUAAUGUAAUCAAUGAAUAUUUUAUUAAAUUAAUUUAUUUGAAAAAUACAAAUAUAGAUAAAUGAAAAUAGUACACUAAAAACACAAGAUCCUACACCAUCAUCAUAUCGAGCACUCUUAGCUAUAGGUAGAGUGCUAAACAUUUCAUCAGCGGCCCUCGUUCCCUCAAGAUCUCAUCUAACAUACCUCGAUCAUACUACAAAAUGCACAAAUACAAACAAGUUAAUUAACACACCAGAUAAAGCCAACUUAAUAUUCUGUUGACCACUCAAAGCUUAGUACUCAACCGUCAUUAAAAUUUCUCAGGGGAUAACUCAUUCAAACCCCUCGAUGGAUAAUUCAUUCAAAUCCAGGCGGAGGCAUAUGCACUUUGAGAUAAGAACCAACUAUCUGCUCUCAACAUGAUUGAUUUUUGCCAAACACCAUCUCAUUUUUGGCCUAGGCAUCGCACAAGUUUCAGUGCUCCCAUAGUUAUCUCUUGCGACGAAAUUGAAACCAUUAGAUAAUACUGAUGAAAGACUAAGUUGGAGUCUCAUUCUAAACUCGGAAAAAGGAAAUAUGAUAGGAGGCAUUUAGAGGAUUAGGCUUAACUUGUUAAAAGCAGAGUCCUCAGAUUCCAUUCUUGAGUAUGACGGCUGACUAACCUAUUCAUUGCAAAUAUCAGCAUCAUAUGCAGCACAAGGACAAAUUUAGCCCUUGCAUUUUUAUGUACACAGCAAUUCUAGACGCAUCUUUGAC